AUCCAGCUGACGAGUUCCAAAUAGGACGAAACGCGCGUCCUGGGU
rnacentral:hammerhead_ribozyme from 1 species